CAGACUCGGCUCCUUCGGAAUGAAGCGGUGAAGAGGCAGUCACCUUGGAGACCAGGAAAAUCAAAGUCCACGAAGAUCCUACUUUUCUCAACUGGAGACGGAUGCAGAGUCUGCUGCUGGACGGCUGGGGGUGGCCUGCCCUGGUGCCCUUGGCUUCCAGGGUUUCCCUACGAUGCUCAAUAAGCGGUUUUGGAUGUGACUCUGGAGACAAUGGCUACACACCCCAAACAGCACAGAGCAGCUGCAGGAAGGCACACCCACCCGAGGCAAGGACGCCCACCUGAAGAUCCCCAGGAGCAUGAGAGCCAGAGGGGAGAGUGGAUCUAUUGUAGCAGC